rnacentral:lncRNA from 1 species
AUUAAUCACAAAAAAUUAAUACAAUACAAUGCAACACUAAAUAUAGUCUAAUUAAAAAUUAAUACAGUAUAGUGAAGCACCAAGCAUUGUACAGUAUUGUUAUAAUAUAAUGCUAACGCAAUAUAACAUAAUACAAUACACUAGCAUUAAAAUAGUAUAAUACAAUAUAAUACAAUACAGUGUGUCAAACACACUCUUAGGGAAUUAUCACAAACUUAUAUGCAUAACUGAUUAAUGUGUGUAAGAUUGUAUUUAACACAUCCAUCACAUUUACAUUGAUUUUUCGUCGGAUUCUUACGACGUUCAGAAAUAAUGUAAGUUCACUCACGGGUAAAAUUGACACUGAUACAUUGCCAUAUAAAAGUUCAUUAUUAACUUAAACCUUAAUAAAAAUCAACUCAUGGGUUAGUGAUUACCUCAAAUUUAUAAAUUAACUAGAAAAUAGAACCGCGUUUCACGCAGUUUUGAAAAAAGAAUUUAGUAUUAUUCUUUUUUUUUACUUUACACUUGAUGAAGCUGAUAAAAAAUAUGAAUUGAUUUUUUUUAAAGAUGAGGCAGCCUUAUAAAAAACAAAAAAAAGCUAUUAGCCAACAAUACAAAUAAAGAAACAACGCAAAAUAAAGAAUAAAAUGAGAGAAUAUAUUAUAGAGUGAUUUUAUUCAUUCCAAUUGUGUGUGUGUACAAAACAAAAAGAUGAGCUCUCCUUUUAUAGUUACAUAAUCACUCCAUGAAAUUUAUAAAAAAUUAUGGAUCAUAAUUUCUUGUGAGAUAAUGGGAGUUAUAAGGAAGCUAAAGGUUGCUAAUGGGAGAUAGUUGGGAGACUAAGAGAUAUAUGUUAUAAACAUUUAUAUUUAUUUUAAUAAAUUCAUAACACUCCCUCUUGGAUGUUCAUUACAAAGAAUAUACA